UACGAAGGGGGCUAGCGUUGCUCGGAAUUACUGGGCGUAAAGGGCGCGUAGGCGGAUGUUUAAGUCAGGGGUGAAAUCCUGGAGCUCAACUCCAGAACUGCCUUUGAUACUGAGGAUCUUGAGUCCGGGAGAGGUGAGUGGAACUCCGAGUGUAGAGGUGAAAUUCGUAGAUAUUCGGAAGAACACCAGUGGCGAAGGCGGCUCACUGGCCCGGUACUGACGCUGAGGUGCGAAAGCGUGGGGAGCAAACAGG
rnacentral:rRNA from 1 species